CUUCUUCCUCAUGAAAUCACAAACCCAAUUCUCUGCAAUUAAGUUCUGACGCGAGAUACAAGGCUGAUGCAGGAGAUCACUAAACCAAAAGUCGACGUUGAUACCAUACGUAAGAUUCUUUCAAAGUCGAUGUGAUUGAAUGCACAACCAAUGCUUUCAUGAGUCGUAGUGAGAAGCUAUAGAAUUUUGUGGUUGAAUUCGGGUGCAGAAAUAUGGUACUAACUAUUGUUGGAUGGAAAAUGACAAAGAGAACUUUGAGUAUCAAUUGUAUAAGCCCAGAAAAGACACGGAGAUUGUACUUUGGAAAUCGAGUAGUCACCGAGAAGAUGUGAUCAAGAAAGCAAUGGAGUUUGAGAGAGACAAAAAAAGACUAGAUGAUAUUAUAGAUUAUGACUUAUUUCUAUGUUACCGUGGUUAGGGUAUAUCAAUGUUACGACUUUUGUUUUUAUGUAAUCGUAGUUACCGUAUGUCAAG
rnacentral:lncRNA from 1 species